AGAGGAGAGGAGAGUAGAGUAGCACAGGUGAAUUGAGAAAUGAGAACACUAACAAGACAAGACUACACAAAUCAACAUUUCAACGUUGGGUUUCUUUGAGUUUAUUAAUGAACCAAAAAAGGUAGCAGAACCCUGCAAAUUGCAAAACACUACCCUUAUCCUUACCCGUCCUUCUCUGCUGCUGCUGCUCUGUCGUUUUCGCUAUUCCUUUCAAUUCAGAGACGACGAUGUCGAUGGGGUUUCGGAUUCAUCACACACUUGCUCUGUUUCUCAUUCCGUUACUCAUUCCGAUCGCCGUAGUCCAAGUCAACGCCUCCAUCCACGACUACUCCAACGAAACCUUCACUCACCGCUCCAACGCUUUCUUCUUCCAUGGCGGCAGCGAAGCCCUCUUCGCCUCUUCUUCCCCCAACUCUAACUCUUUCAUCAGGUUCGAAACGGUAACGUUUACGCGCCCAAAGGAAUCGGCCAGCAACAGCGGCGCGAUGCAGCAGAACACGGGGUUGGUGGAAGCCAUUAUUCUGGAGGUCAAAGACAGGAACAGAAUCGGAGGGUCGUACCUCAAAUCCGAUUUGAUUUGCUGCGAUCCGACCCUCGCAAAUGAUCACCAUUGCAACGUCGGCGAAGUGAUCAUCCAGAAGAACCCCGACAGCCCUGAAUUGCCCAAACGGAUCAAAACUUUCUUUCAGGGAACCAGGGACAAGGUUCAGAUGGAUAUUCAAACGCUUCAGAUCAACGCCACCGGCAUGUACUACCUCUACUUCAUGUUCUGCGACCCUAAUCUCCAGGGCACCACCAUCGAAGGAAGGACCGUUUGGAGAAACCCUAACGGCUACCUCCCUGGGAAGAUGGCACCUCUUAUGACCCUCUAUGGCUUCAUGUCUCUGGCGUAUUUGUUGCUCGGUCUUGCAUGGUUUCUGAGGUUUGUUCAGUACUGGAAGGAUAUCAUACAUUUGCAUUACCAUAUUACUGCUGUGAUUGCGCUUGGUAUGUGUGAGAUGGCUGUGUGGUAUUUUGAGUACGCCAAUUUCAAUUCCACUGGAACAAGGCCUAUGGGGAUUACCCUGUGGGCUGUGACCUUCACCUCCGUCAAGAAGACCUUGUCGCGCCUUCUGCUAUUGGUUGUUUCCAUGGGCUACGGUGUUGUCCGCCCCACGCUUGGUGGCCAUGGGAUUGCCUCCAGGAUACUGCUUCUUGGCCUGCUAUAUUUUGUUGCCUCGGAGGCACUUGAGCUUGUUGAGCAUUUGGGUAACAUCAAUGACUUCUCUGGCAAGACUAAGCUCGUUUUGGUACUCCCUGUCGUUUGCCUCGACUCCUGCUUCAUUCUCUGGAUUUUCUCUUCCUUGUCCAAAACCUUGGAAAAACUGCAGACAAGGAGAAACUUGGCUAAACUGGAGCUCUACAGAAAGUUUACGAACACGCUUGCAGUCUCUGUCCUACUUUCGAUUGCAUGGAUUGGUUUUGAGCUAUACUUCAAUGCUACCGAUCCAUUGAGUGAGCUGUGGCAAAUUGCUUGGAUUAUUCCAGCUUUCUGGUCACUGCUUUCGUUUGUUCUGUUGGUGGUGAUCUGUGUCCUUUGGGCUCCUUCUCGUAACCCUACUAGAGAGUCGUACUGGUCUAUCUCACUUGAUCUUCAAAUCUUCAAGAAUGAUUUUUAACCAAAGUAGCUCACCCACACUUAAUGACAUAGCUCAAAAUCCUACCUCUACACUAGACUGUGCUUCUACAUUUGUUUUUACUCCAUGACACAAUAUUCCCGCCUAGAAAGAUAUGCAUACUUAGAGGAAACAGGUGAUGACUUUGAUGAGGAGGGUAUCUCUCUAACAAGCAGCGUAGCGAAGAUGAGUGGGGAUGUGGCAGUCAAGCUUGAUCGGAAGGAAAGGAAAGGUUCUAGUGCAACAGAUCUUGCCUUCGGAGAAGAUGUUGAGGAAGAUAAGCGAGAAUAAUGUCAAACCUGUAUAGAUAUUAGUGUUUCACAUGACAUCGUUUCUUACAAGAGGUCGGCAGAUGCCAUAUAUACAUGUGGUUUUGUAUGCAGGUGGUGUCAAUUGGUGAUGGGGAAACAAGGAAGCAGUCUCAUCGUUAGAUCAAAAUCUUGUAAUCAUGAGAAUAGAUUUCGUGACUGAUGGUGUGAUAAAAUCUUUCCCCUGUUUGCUUUAAAAUGACCAUCAUCCGUAUGUAUCCAUCUCUGUACCAUAGAAUUUACAUUUCCUUUACCUUUGGGUUUUCUUCAUAGUAUUAUUUCCG